CCAAAAAAAAUAUGUAAUAAGAUUUAACUCCAUCUUUGUGUUUUAGGUGGGUCACAAUGGUGAUCCAUGCAGUACAAAGCGUUUGAUGUUCCUUCAUUUUGAUGCUAAAAUUGCCUGCAUAAGGCAUGGAGAGAUUGUUGAAGGUGACUCAAGAUCUGCAGCACUAGCAAGUAGGAGAGGACUAACGCAUCAGGGUUCUUUGUAUGUGCGUCCUGGACCCAAAUAAGUUUCCAGUUUCCACUUGCCUAUGUGAACUGCCCUGGUGCCACAC
rnacentral:misc_RNA from 1 species